AGCGAACGCUGGCGGCAGGCCUAACACAUGCAAGUCGAACGGAUCCUUCGGGAUUAGUGGCGGACGGGUGAGUAACACGUGGGAACGUGCCCUUUGGUUCGGAACAACUCAGGGAAACUUGAGCUAAUACCGGAUGUGCCCUUCGGGGGAAAGAUUGAUCGCCAUUGGAGCGGCCCGCGUCGGAUUAGCUAGGUGGUGAGGUAACGGCCCACCAAGGCGACGAUCAGUAGCUGGUCUGAGAGGAUGAUCAGCCACACUGGGACUGAGACACGGCCCAGACUCCUACGGGAGGCAGCAGUGGGGAAUCUUGCGCAAUGGGCGAAAGCCUGACGCAGCCAUGCCGCGUGAAUGAUGAAGGUCUUAGGAUUGUAAAAUUCUUUAAGCGGGGACGAUAAUGACGGUACCCGAAGAAGAAGCUCCGGCUAACUUCGUG
rnacentral:rRNA from 1 species